CUUUGAAGCCUCAGAUCCCUAUUCUCUUUAUCUUAGUCCAGAAUGAUAUCAGCUGAAAGCAAUGUUAAAGAGAAGGGUAAAAUCUUUCUUCUUCAACAAUGGUGUGAGAAGCUUGGAUCUUGAAAGGGCAGUCUGAAAUCCAGCUGCUACAACAGGAGAAGAGAUUUUAACUAAGAGUAAGGACAGUGGGUUACUUGGGCAAUCUCCAUCAGUCACCCCAUUAGCCACCUAAAAUAGACCACAAGAAAUAUUCACUGCCCAAAUGCAGUUUCAUUCCUUCAAGAAGAAAAGUUCUCCCUCACACUUUCUGAGGGAAGAUGAUAUGAAGACACACAAGGGGAAGGCCAUGUGAAGAUGGAAGGAUAGGAGGCAUGCAUCUACAGUGAAUGUCAAAGACUGCUGACAAACCACCAGAAGCUUAGGAAGAGCAAGGAAGGAUUCCCCUAUUGGUUUCAGAAGAAGCAUGGUCAUGCCAUUACCUUGAUUUUAGACUUCUAGCUUCUAAAACAAUAGGACAAUAAAUUUCUGUUGUUUUAAGUAACCCAGUUUAUGUUACACUUUUAUUCUUAUUAGUGGAUUAAAGAUUUUAAUUUUAUAUUGUCUGAUUUCCUGUGAGACACAAAGUUUUUAAUAUAUUCUAUGACU